AGAUGAGGUAGAGGUUGCGUGAAUUAUGAGUAAUUUUUUGGAUGUGGCAGUCGCAAGUGAAGGAAAAUGAAAGGGAGGAACGCCGAAAGAGUUUUUUCAUACUGCAGAGAGGCUCUUGGGCAUACAGUUAAGAGCUGUGUGACUGUCAUCAGUUAUUUGAUGGGGCGCUAUCCGAUUC
rnacentral:ncRNA from 2 species